AACGAACGCUGGCGGCGCGUCUUAAGCAUGCAAGUCGAACGGCAAGAGAGGAGCUUGCUUCUCUCCUAGAGUGGCGGACUGGUGAGGAACACGUGGGUAAUCUACCCUUAAGAUGGGGAUAGCUGCUAGAAAUAGCAGGUAAUACCGAAUACACUCGGCAUAUCCCCAGAGGUGUUGAGGAAAGGAAGCUACGGCUUCGCUUGAGGAUGAGCUUGCGUCCCAUUAGCUAGUUGGUGAGGUAAAGGCCCACCAAGGCGACGAUGGGUAUCCGGCCUGAGAGGGUGAACGGACACAUUGGGACUGAGAUACGGCCCAAACUCCUACGGGAGGCAGCAGCUAAGAAUAUUCCGCAAUGGACGGAAGUCUGACGGAGCGGCGCCGCGUGGAUGAAGAAGGCUGAAAAGUUGUAAAAUCCUUUUGUUGAUGAAGAAUAAGGGUGAGAGGGAAUGCUCAUCUGAUGACGGUAAUCGACGAAUAAGCCCCGGCUAAUUACGUG
rnacentral:rRNA from 1 species